GACGAACGCUGGCGGCGUGCCUAAUACAUGCAAGUCGAGCGCAGGAAACUGACGGAACUCUUCGGAGGGAAGGCAGUGGAAUGAGCGGCGGACGGGUGAGUAACACGUAAGGAACCUGCCUCAAGGAUUGGGAUAACUCCGAGAAAUCGGAGCUAAUACCGGAUAGUUCAACGGACCGCAUGGUCCGCUGAUGAAAGGCGCUUCGGCGUCACCUUGAGAUGGCCUUGCGGUGCAUUAGCUAGUUGGUGGGGUAACGGCCCACCAAGGCGACGAUGCAUAGCCGGCCUGAGAGGGUGAUCGGACACACUGGGACUGAGACACGGCCCAGACUCCUACGGGAGGCAGCAGUAGGGAAUCUUCCACAAUGGACGAAAGUCUGAUGGAGCAACGCCGCGUGAGUGAUGAAGGUUUUCGGAUCGUAAAACUCUGUUGUAAGGGAAGAACACGUACGAGAGGAAAUGCUCGUACCUUGACGGUACCUUACGAGAAAGCCACGGCUGACUACGUGCCAGCCGCCGCAGUAA
rnacentral:rRNA from 1 species